GAUGAACGCUGGCGGCGUGCCUAAUACAUGCAAGUCGAGCGAACAGACGAGGGGCUUGCUCCUCUGACGUUAGCGGCGGACGGGUGAGUAACACGUGGAUAACCUACCUAUAAGACUGGGAUAACUUCGGGAAACCGGAGCUAAUACCUGCUAAUAUAUUUAACCGCAUGGUUCCAUAGUUAAAGACGGUUUUGCUGUCACUUAUAGAUGGAUCCGCGCCGCAUUAGCUAGUUGGUAAGGUAACGGCUUACCAAGGCAACGAUGCGUAGCCGACCUGAGAGGGUGAUAGGGCACACUGGAACUGAGAUGAGGCACAGACCACUACGGGAGGCAGCAGUAGGGAAACUACCGCAAUGGGAGAAAGACUGACGGAGAAACGCCGCGUGAGGGAUGAAGGUCUGGGGAUCUGAAAACUCUGUUAUUAGGGAAGAACAAAUGUGUAAGUAACUAUGCACGUCUUGACGGUACCUAAUCAGAAAGCCACGGCUAACUACGUG
rnacentral:rRNA from 1 species